rnacentral:rRNA from 1 species
UACGGAGGGUGCGAGCGUUGUCCGGAAUCAUUGGGCGUAAAGGGCUCGUAGGCGGUUCGUCACGUCGGGAGUGAAAACUCGGAGCUUAACUCCGAGCCUGCUUCCGAUACGGGCAGACUAGAGGUAGGCAGGGGAGAGCGGAACUCCUGGUGUAGCGGUGGAAUGCGCAGAUAUCAGGAAGAACACCGGUGGCGAAGGCGGCUCUCUGGGCCUUACCUGACGCUGAGGAGCGAAAGCGUGGGUAGCGAACAGG